CAGUCGCCGCGGGAAUACGAAGGGUGCAAGCGUUAAUCGGAAUUACUGGGCGUAAAGCGCACGCAGGCGGUCUGUCAAGUCAGAUGUAAAAUCCCCGGGCUUAACCUGAGAACUGCAUUUGAAACUGGCAGGCUAGAGUCUUGUAGAGGGGGGUAGAACUCCAGGUGUAGCGGUGAAAUGCGUAGAGGUCUGGAGGAAUACCGGCGGCGAAGGCGGCCCCCUGGACAAAGACUGACGCUGAGGUGCGAAAGCGUGGGGAGCAAACAGGAUUAGAUACCCCUGUAGUCCCUGUCUCUUAUAC
rnacentral:rRNA from 1 species